rnacentral:tmRNA from 1 species
GGGGGUGCCCCGGUUUCGACUGAUACGGUUCGAACCGUUGGUCGCAGGUGGAGUGCCGUACUCCUGAUCGCGGCAAAACUUUAAUUGCCAACAACAACGGCAAUCUCGCCCUCGCCGCGUAAGCGCCGAUGACGACGGGCCCCGCGACGCCCUGUUCCGAGCGUAGCGACCGGCCUGUAACCCAACCGGGACUUACCCCACGCCCAGCCCGCGGGACAUGGGGGACAUAUAGCGGGAUACGGAGACGAAAGCGCGACGGUCCGCGUAGCGCCUCCCGACAACUUUAAAGGCCGCCUAAACCUGUAGACGCCCUCGAUUUGCCUACCAGGACGCGGGUUCGACUCCCGCCACCUCCAAAA